rnacentral:rRNA from 1 species
GACGAACGCUGGCGGCGUGCUUAACACAUGCAAGUCGAACGGAGUGGCGAACGGGUGAGUAACACGUGGGUGACCUGCCCUGCACUUCGGGAUAAGCCUGGGAAACUGGGUCUAAUACCGGAUAGUGUGGGAUGGGCGCGCGGCCUAUCAGCUUGUUGGUGGGGUAAUGGCCUCCCAAGGCGGCGACGGGUAGCCGGCCUGGGAGGGUGGACGGCCACAUGGGGCCUGAGGCACGGCCCAGACGCCUACGGGGGGCAGCGGUGGAGAAUAUUGCACAAUGAGCGGACGCCUGAUGCAACGACGCCGCGUGGGGGAUGACGGCCUUCGGGUUGUAAACUCCUUUCACCAUCGACGCGGUAGAUGGAGAAGAAGCACCGGCUAACUACGUGCCAGCAGCCGCGGUAAUUC